rnacentral:rRNA from 1 species
GGGUCCGCACAAGCGGUGGAGCAUGUGGUUUAAUUCGAUAAUACGCGAGGAACCUUACCUAGGCUAGAAUGCGAGUGACAUCCAGAGAGAUCUGGAGUUCUUCGGACACAAAGCAAGGUGCUGCAUGGUUGUCGUCAGCUCGUGCCGUGAGGUGUUGGGUUAAGUCCCGCAACGAGCGCAACCCCUGUUUUAGUUGCCAGCAAGUAAUGUUGGGGACUCUAGAAAGACUGUCUGCGUAAGCAGAGAGGAAGGAGGGGACGACGUCAAAUCAGCAUGGCCCUUAUGCCUAGGGCUACACACGUGCUACAAUGGCGUAUACAAAGGGUAGCGAACCAGUGAUGGUAAGCCAAUCUCUAAAAGUACGUCUCAGUUCGGAUUGAAGUCUGCAACUCGACUUCAUGAAGCUGGAAUCGCUAGUAAUCG